UGUUUCUACAAGAGAAUGCUGUAUUUCACAAGCCUCAGCCCUUCCAGUUCCAGCCUUGUGACAGUGAUACUAGUCGACAAUUAGAAUCAGAAACUGGUACCACAGAAGAACACAGUCUAAAUAAGGAGGCUCGAAAAUGGGCCACUCGUGUGGCACGUGAGCACAAAAAUAUUGUUCAUCAGCAGCGGGUAAGUAUGAUAGCACUCACUGGCUGUGUGCAGCUGAAGUCAGAUUGCAGAUAGGUUUCUUCCAACCCAAUCUUCUUACUGUUUAUUUGGGAGCUUCACCUAAUGUACCCUGAUCACAUUCACUUCUCAGUCUUCUCAGGUCCACCUCCUCCAAAG
rnacentral:lncRNA from 1 species